rnacentral:rRNA from 1 species
AUAUUGGACAAUGGGGGCAACCCUGAUCAAGCCAUGCCGCGUGUGUGAAGAAGGUNUUNNGAUUGNANAGCACUUUAAGUUGGNNNNNAGGGCUUUAGGNUAAUACCCUGAAGUUUUGACGUUACCAACCGAAUAAGAACCGGCUAACUCUGUGCCAGCAGCCGCGGGACUAAAGAGGUUGCAAGCGUCAAUCGGAAUUACUGGGCGUAAAGCGCGCGUAGGUGUUUCAGUAAGAUGGGUGUGAAAUCCCCGGGCUUAACCUGGGAACUGCUUUCAUAACUGCUGAGCUAGAGUACGGUAGAAGGUAGUGGAAUUUCCUGUGUAGCGGUGAAAUGCGUAGAUAUAGGAAGGAACACCAGUGGCGAAGGCGACUACCUGGACUGAUACUGACACUGAGGUGCGAAAGCGUGGUGAGCAAACAG